ACAACCCAGUUUCCAUGGCAUAAUCACUUUCACGAUUUCAAAAGUCACUCCUUCUCUUUCAGGACCCAAAAAACAAAAUGAAGAACAAAGGGAUUAAAUCGAUUUCAUCUCCAAGAUUCAACAUCCUUCGUCUUCUGCAUCCUCGCCAAUUGCGUACUUCAAAUCCAUCUUUGCGCCGUAUUUUCAUUCUUGGCUUCGCGUCGAUUGUGGUUGAGUGAUGCUCCACAGAUUCGUCAUAUUUCUCGCUCCAAUACGAUUUGCAGGUCGGCCGUUGCAACCAAAUGGCACCGCCGCUCUCACUCCGUUGUGUAAGGAUCCCGACCACGAAUCACGAACAAACAUCGCUGAAUCCGCGCCCCGCUUUGCCGUCGUAAUCCAAUUCCGAACCAACGAUUUAUGCGAAUAAUAGAACAAAUGAAGAGCGAGGACCUACCAUGUAUUGCAUUGUCGUUGACGAUGAAGACGACGUUUUCAGAUGCACUUAUUGCUUCGGUUUCUCAAGUGGCGAUCGAUCUCGGAGAGAAUUCAAGGAUUGAAUUUGACAGAGUGAAGAUCUUGGUGAGAAUUCUGAGAUGAGGUCGUGAGGACUUGGCGAGCGUUGAAGCGUGAGAGGUUCAGGUUCGUGAGGAUUUGCAAAAUGAAGAUGAAGUUUUUUGUGAAUCAUUGUGUGUAAAAAAAAUGUCUGCAGAAUGAAUGAAUUCAUACCCUGUUUAUGUUAUAAAAUGCAUAUCAAAUUCAAUUCAAAUUUCCUUGAAAAUGAAGAAGUUUGUUGGAUGUAACAAACUGUUUUAGAGUUGGUUACGAAUUCGUUUCGGUUCAGCUGAUUCUGUGUGAUUCUAUUCAUUGGCUUAUGGUGGUUUUUCCCUUUUUUUUCUGGCUGAAACGCAAGCAUAUGGUGAUUAAUUCUGUGCAUGUUUUGAAAGUUAAUAUCGUUUUGGAUCCUGUUGUUCAAUUUGGCUUCGCAAAUGCGUUUCACUUGGUUGCGGUUUUGGCUCUGUAACAUGUUCUGGUGGCUGCGUUUCGAAUGUGUACGGCACUGCGUUUCUGUUGUUUAUGCUCAUACUACGUUGCUGGGUUUCUGUUGUUUGGCUUGUAAAGCAAAGUGUAUAAUGGAUUUUGAUAUUGGUUUAAGUGGAUAACUGGGUAUUUGAA